UAUGUAUAUAGUCCUUUAAUUCUGUCACUCUAGAGAACCCUGACUAAUACAUCUACACUUCUGAUGAUCUAUUUCUUUUAUUUUAGGUCAUUUAUUUCCCCUGGGUUGCCUACACUCGCUUCUUCCCACUCCCCUAUGAAGGACAAUAUAAGCCUCUGGACCUCACUAGGUCAGGGCAUGUCCCUGCUUGCACUAUCCAUGACACUUUCCUCUUUUACUCUUUAGCAAUGAGGGAAUGUCAUCCUUACCCAGAUGCCAGCCAACUGUCUCACAUCCAGGACAGAGAGUCUCCAUCUCCUCUCCAGCAAAUAACCAUGUAUGUGUGCAUGGUGGCAUGCCCCUGUGAUCCCAGCUACUCCAUAGGCUUAGGGGGGAGAAUCACUUGUGCUUCAGAAUUCAAGGUUGCAAUGAGCCAUGAUCACACCACUGCAUUUCAUGCUGGGUAACAGAGAGACCCUGUGAUUUUUCCCCUACAUUUUACAGAAUUUUUGUUUUGCCUCUUUCUUCUAUUAAUUUAUGUUUUGUCCAUUCAUUUUCUGCAAACCUUUAGAGGGCAAAUAGGAAGUUUCCCUUUAUAACGUGGUGGCUCACGCCUGUAAUCCCAGCACUUUGGGAGGCCGAGGUGAGCCGAUCACCUGAGGUUGGGAGUUCGAGACUAGCCUGACCAACAUAGAGAAACCCCGCCUCCACUAAAAAAAAUACAAAAUUAGCAGGGUGUGGUGGUGUGCACCUGUGAUCCCAGCUACUCAGGAGGCUGAGGCAAGAUAAUUGCUUGGACCUGGGAGGCGGAGGUUGCAGUGAGCCCAGAUUGUGCCACUACACUCCAGCCUGGGUGACAAGAGCGAAACUCCGUCUCAAAAAAACAAAACGAAACAAAAACAAACAAACAAAAAAACACCAUUGCCUCACUGAAUUAAAGGCGUGUUCAGCAGUUUCUUUGUUAUUUCAAAGAGUGGCAUCUGCUUCAGCAGGGUCAGUUUUUAAUGUGUUUGUUUUGUUUCUUUUUUCUCUGUCUGGUGUUCUUUUCUAUUUUAUUAUAAUUUUUUAAAUUUGAGGGAUGAGGUUUUCAUAGUACUGAAUAUCAAACAAUGAAUCCGCAUGAAUGAUUCACCUAAUUUCCUUGGUUUUAGUCCUCUAUACAGGUUUUAUAUAGCAAAAGAACCAUUUAAAGACUUGGGUUACAAAUGCAUUUUAUUUUACCUCUGGCAUGCCUUGGGCUGAGAAAGCAUUAUAUGGUGGCACAAUAUUUGUAACAUUCUCAGAGCCAUCUGGUGGUGGUUCGAGGUAUGACGUUUUGAAAAUCUAGCAAGAAUUAAAAAUAUGUCAAGUUAGAGAGAAUAAUUCCAGAUUAUUAUUAAGAUAUAAUUCAUUUUGCCCCAAGUAUAUACUUCAGAUUAAGCAUCCUGGAACUAGGUUCUAUAAUUAAAUAGAUAAAUUACACUGACAACAAUGAGAAAGGGCCUUAUCAUUAUUAUUGUCUUCCUAAUAAUAGAAACUUUUAUAAAUGCAUGCAAUCCCAGGUAACCAAAAGUUUCCUUAUAAAGUGUAACAGCAGAGCUUCAAAGGUGGCACUUUGGCAAUCCUCUUUUUUUGACUAUGCCUUUUCAGCUUCGUUUGUGGGCUCCUUUUCUUUCAUCUUUAUUUAAAUAAUAUUUCCCUAUGUUUUAUCCCCAGCCCAUUGCUUGCCUCUGUACUGCCUCCCUGCGAGACUUCAUUAAGUAUCAGAAUUUUACCAAUAGCUCAUAUGCUUAUGAUGCUUACCUUUUCAGAUUCGUAUAUUUAAAUGUUUUGUGGUUAUUUCAUCCUGGAUGUCCAAACUCAACAUGUUAAAAUUCAAAUUUAUCAUCUCUCACCCCGGGCCUGCUUUUGGUCUGCAUUACCUACCUCUAUUAAUAGCUUCAGUCAUUAGUCACCGACACCAGACAGUCUCGGAGUCAUCCUGAACUCUAUCUUCCCCUCCUUCCCCAAGUCAAUCACUAAUCAAGUCCUGCUAAUACAUUUCCUUACUAUUUCUGAAAUCCAUCCCUCUUCCUCAUUCCUACUAACAUCCUAAUUUAAAACUUUAUUAUCUUUUACCUGGACUAUUGUCUUAAGACAACAACUUUAACCCGUUGCUUAGCCUAGGUGUAAUCCACAGACGAUCUUGUCUGUCUAAAAUGCCCCUCUAGCCACAUCCUUCCCCUGCUCAGAUCUUGUCAUUGGCUCCCAUGAACUGAAGUUGAAGUUUAAGCUCCUUAGGACAGCAUACACGCCCUUCUAUGAUAUGUUCCCAGAACAUAUUUACUGGUUUAUCUCAUACCAUGGCCCACUUUGUAUUUUACACUUUUGAAAUACAGAAAGUCAUUACAUUCUCCCAAUAAUACUAAGAUAGUAUAUGCCUAAAAGCCUUUGGCAAUAUUUUGUCUUUUGUUGAGAAUUCUCUUAGCUUAUUUUGUCACGUGUUUAACUCCUUAUGUCCUUUCAUGACUCACAUGUCAAGACUUCAGGAAACCUUCUCUAACUCCCAGGCUGGGCUGAGUGACCCUUUUCUGGCUUUUCUGUACUAAUUAUUGCCAAUAUAUUUCUACUGGCGUAAAAAC
rnacentral:lncRNA from 10 species